rnacentral:antisense_RNA from 1 species
GAUCGCACAAGUGGCUGCAACCAGGCUCUAGGAGGGAGAAAGAGCGGAUCCCCCAACCCCCUCCGCCCGCCCGCCCCCCGCGAGACGCGGCGCCGCGCAGGGUCCUAGUGCCCGCUGUGCGAAGGGUUCCUGAAUCUGGCCACUUCGCUGGGAGGCCCUGGGCUCCCCAAUGCCACCCGAAGGGCCUGAGGAGGCCAUCUGCAGGAUCAUUCUGGCUGCUGGGCGAAGGUUCAACUAAAGAAUGGCAAGAGUAGAAGCUGGAAAUCUAAUUAGGAGGCUCCUGCAGACCCCAAGCUGGGGGGUGAUGACAGCCAGACUAGAGUGGUGGCAGUUGUCUGAUUCCAGUUAGGUUUUGAAAGUGAAACCAUCAGGACCCACUGAUGGAUCGGAUGUGACACGUGACCAUAAGAGUGAAGUCAAGGAGAAAUCCUGGCAAUUCACACACUGCUGGUGGGAGUGUAGUUAGGCAAAAACUACUUUGGGAAACUAUU